rnacentral:rRNA from 1 species
UACGUAGGGUGCAAGCGUUAAUCGGAAUUACUGGGCGUAAAGCGUGCGCAGGCGGUUUUGUAAGUCAGAUGUGAAAUCCCCGGGCUCAACCUGGGAAUUGCGUUGGAGACUGCAAGGCUGGAGUCUGGCAGAGGGGGGUAGAAUUCCACGUGUAGCAGUGAAAUGCGUAGAGAUGUGGAGGAACACCGAUGGCGAAGGCAGCCCCCUGGGUCAAGACUGACGCUCAUGCACGAAAGCGUGGGGAGCAAACAGG